rnacentral:rRNA from 1 species
GAUGAACGCUAGCGGCAGGCUUAACACAUGCAAGUCGAGGGGUAUAGUAGCAAUACUAGAGACCGGCGCACGGGUGCGUAACGCGUAUGCAAUCUACCUUUCACAGAGGGAUAGCCCAGAGAAAUUUGGAUUAAUACCUCAUAGUAUAGCAUUUUGGCAUCAAGGAACUAUUAAAGUCACAACGGUGAAAGAUGAGCAUGCGUCCCAUUAGUUAGUUGGUAAGGUAACGGCUUACCAAGACUACGAUGGGUAGGGGUCCUGAGAGGGAGAUCCCCCACACUGGUACUGAGACACGGACCAGACUCCUACGGGAGGCAGCAGUGAGGAAUAUUGGACAAUGGGCGCAAGCCUGAUCCAGCCAUGCCGCGUGCAGGAUGACGGUCCUAUGGAUUGUAAACUGCUUUUGUACAGGAAGAAACACCCCGACGUGUCGGGACUUGACGGUACUGUAAGAAUAAGGAUCGGCUAACUCCGUGCCAGCAGCCGCAGUAA